CAAUACCUUUGGAAGUAAUACCUUUAGUCAUAGUGGUGAUCAGAUGAGGGAAGAUCAGAAUUUAUUUGAAUAAAAAUUAUUACUUUAAUGAAUUAUGAACAAAUAAGAUUUUCGAAAACAAUUUUCCCGGAACAUUUAUUUAUGAUUUAAAUUUUGACUUUAUACCUAAUUCCAAUAUUAACAGUUUAAAAACAACAGACCACGGUAAUUUUAAAAAAAAAUAAGAAUAUGUUCCGUAUCAAGUUAGUUAGUCGGAUAAAACAACCCGGUACGAUUGACAAGAUAUCGACACGAAAUUACGACUACAUCGGUUACUGUAGUUUUGUUUCUUUGUGGUUUAUAGACAUAUCGGUGUUAUAAAUCGGGAAAGAAGACAAAAUGGCUGAACGGAGAGAAUUGAUACUCUAAAUUUAAAAUCGAUGGUGAUCGCUUAUCUAGCGGAA
rnacentral:lncRNA from 1 species